AACAAUAUUGUUAACAAGUUGUUCAACCAUCAGUGCUGUUGCAAGUUGUUAACAUGAUUGUCAACAAGUUGCAACAAUAUUGAUGGUUGAACAACUUGUUAACAAUAUU
rnacentral:miRNA from 1 species